UACAGGGGGUGCAAACGUUGCUCGGAAUUAUUGGGCGUAAAGCGCACGUAGGCGGUUCGUUAUGUCAGAUGUGAAAGCCCUUGGCUCAACUGAGGAAGUGCAUCUGAAACUGGCGAGCUAGAGUAUGUAAGAGGGUCGCGGAAUUCCCGGUGUAGAGGUGAAAUUCGUAGAUAUCGGGAGGAACACCGGUGGCGAAGGCGGCGACCUGGGACAAUACUGACGCUGAGGCGCGAAAGCUAGGGUAGCAAACGGG
rnacentral:rRNA from 1 species